CUCCCUGAUGUUAGCGGCGGACGGGUGAGUAACACGUGGGUAACCUGCCUGUAAGACUGGGAUAACUCCGGGAAACCGGGGCUAAUACCGGAUGGUUGUCUGAACCGCAUGGUUCAGACAUAAAAGGUGGCUUCGGCUACCACUUACAGAUGGACCCGCGGCGCACUAGCUAGUUGGUGAGGUAACGGCUCACCAAGGCGACAAUACGUAACCGACAUGAGAGGGUGAGCGGCCACACUGGGACUGAGACACAGCCCCCACACCCCCAGGAGGGGCCACUAUGGAAUCUUCCCCAAUGGGAGAAAGUCUCACACAGAACCGCCCCGCGAGAGAGGAAAGUGUUCUCAUCUCAUAACUCUCUUUUGAUGGGAAAAA
rnacentral:rRNA from 1 species